GUGACACUGCAAAGGGGAGGGUGCUCCUCUGUGGUUGAUAGGAAUGAUUGCUCCAUGUGGGCCGGCCGAAGACAGACCACUAACAACUAUUAACAAGACUGGCAACCUACAAUGUUUUUGAGAGGUGUCAUGUUAAAGAGCCGGAGUGAGGUGGAGAAGGGCAGAGCUCAUGCUUCUCAAUCCUGAAUUACCUUUAGGAGGAGAGAAAUGGAGGCAGAUAUAAAAAGAAACAGCAGGUGGACUGAUGUCACCUAGGACAAUAGAACCAAUUAAAAUGGCUUGGGGGAAGAGACGCCACCCCACCUCAGAAUAACUAUCCAUAGUUCAGUGAUUAGGGUCCUUACCUGGGAUAUAGGAGACCAAGGUUUACAUCCUUCUCAGGAGCAGUGACCAGAACCUGCCUCUUCCACAUCCCAGCACACCGGGCAACGAACCCAGCUGUUGCUGUCCUCGGGCCUCUGUGCCGGUAACAACCCCCUGCCGCUGAAAUGCCGCCAAAGACCCAGAGUGGAUCCCCCGCCGCCGAAGUGCUGCCGAAGACUCGAAGCAGACCGCCGCCAGCAGGAAUUGGUGACGGUUCAGCUUCUGCUAGUCAUGUAACAUUUAACAAAGGAGACAACAGCACCAGUUUCCCAGAGGAUCUUUACUGUCAUGACCGGGCACAAAGUUCCCAGGCCCAAUUAUCACAAUAAUCCUAAAGGCCCACCCUGGAGGCUGCCAUCUCCAAGCAAGGAAUCUGUCUUCUAUUGAUUUCCCAUAGCAACGGAAGUGGUGGAAGAGCUUGUCUCAAGGGAACCUAGGGAACAAACCAAAGCAUUUGGUGAUGUCUGUGUACGUCCUCAGUUCUUUACCUACAAUGUGCUUUGCUAGUGAAAAUUGUGAAGGGCUAUCCCCAAUAUGAGGCUAUGUCUACACAGCUCCACAGUUUGGUCUAUGGAUUCUGUAUCAAGUGAAAAAACGGUUGAGUGCAAGGUGAGGAAGGAUCAUCAACCAUUAUAGGAGAAAGGAAGAAGUAUUUCAUCAGUGACAUCAAAAUUUAAAUAAAAAAUGGGCUCAUCUCAGUUAUAGGAAAGGUAACUAAGAUGAAGCAAAAACAGUAUUGCCUUGCCUGAUUUCACCCCAAAUGUUUGUGGUUCUAAAUGUUGAUGUGUUGGGUUUAUUUUUUGUUAUGGGAACUGUAAAUAUAUAUAAAGUGUGAAGGGUUUGUGCACUGGAAGCACAUCAGUUCUGCUAUUUCAUUUAAUUUUAAAACAGAUUUCAUUUAUAAUUCUUUAUCCACUAUAUUAAGAAGUCACCAGCUUUUGCAUUGCCUGGGAAAUUCUGGCUCAUUCAAGGACUUCAAACUCACCUAAAAUAUGUUAUUGAUUUAUUAAAAUGCAUAUUUCAUAGUAGAUUGCACAGAGUAGAAAGGUGAUAUAAAGCCAUAUCAGGAUUGAAAGGCAAACCCAUGGGAAGACAACUAUGUGAAUGUUGUGUAAAAAAUUAUUUAUUAUGAGAUGCAGGAAAAAAAGCCAAAAUCAUUUAUUAAGGCUAGGAAACUUUAGCCCAUUCUCUUGGUUGGCUUUUCAGGAUUUGUUCCUGUCUCUUCCACCUAAGGAUCAGUGCAAGAAGAACCAGUACGGAUAAAAUAAGAACUGUCCUGAAUGUAUGUGUAAACUCAAAACAAACCUAAACCAAAUCUUUUCAGAGAUUUGGGAGAAGAGAUGGGCAAAUAAGAAUCCUUGGUUGCCUGAGAGUUACAGAAAAUCAAAAUUCUGAUUUGGGUCAAACUGAAUUUUUUUCAGAAUAUUAAGUGAAUUCAAAAAGUAAAAAAAAAAUGUUAUGGGUCAAA